UACGGAGGGUGCAAGCGUUGUCCGGAUUUAUUGGGUUUAAAGGGUGCGUAGGCGGCUUAUCAAGUAGGGGGUGAAAGCCCCCGGCUUAACCGGGGAAUUGCGCCCUAAACUGACGAGCUGGAGUGGGACAGGGGUGUGUGGAACUUCCGGUGGAGCGGUGAAAUGUGUUGAUAUCGGAAGGAACGCCGGUGGCGAAAGCGACACACUGGGUCUCAACUGACGCUGAGGCACGAAAGCCAGGGGAGCGAACGGG
rnacentral:rRNA from 1 species